AGCCAAUUUAAAAAACCUAUGUGAAAAAUGAUUAUUUUUGCUGUACUUUACACAAAUAAUCAGGCUAAGUAUAAGACUGUGGCUUAGUUUUGCAAACAAAAUAGUCCUAUUAGGAUUUGUCUUUAGUAAAAAUGGGAGAAUAGAGAGAUAAAAAAACACGUUUUAGUAACAAUGGUACACUUGUUAUAAAACUGUGAUCUCCAGUUGUUUUUGAGGGUUUUUUUUUUUUUUUUUGUACAAUUUAGACUGAACCUGCUAUUUAUGUGAACCAACCAGUGAUCUCUUAUGGCUGUUCAAAAGUAACAAGAGAGAUGGCAACAUAGAUGCAGUUAGAGGCCAUAACCAUAAGGGAGCUAACACAAGAAGAAACAACAAAAUUGCACAUGUUUUCAUGUGUAAGUGGGACCUUAACAUUGAGCACUGGAACAUGAAUGUGAAGAUGAGAAAAACAGACACUGUGGACUCCUACAGGUAGGUGGUAAGGAGUGGAAUGUUGGUUGAAAAACUACCUAUUCAACGUUAGGCUCACUACCUGGGUCCAAUAUUGCCAUGUAACAAUCCUACACAUGUAACCCCUGUAUCUCCCUGUAUCUUAAAUAAAAAGUUGAAAUUUGGAAAAGAAA